UAACAAUUUGUUUAUUUUUAUUUUAUUUUCUUAUUUUCUUCGACGUUGCUUUUCUAUUGCUUUUUUGUUCUUGGGGUGCAUAUAACGUCGCAGCCGCCACGUUGGUUGACAAAACAAAGCUUUCCUCAUUAGCUUCUCUUGUUAGAUCAACCAACAUGGCGGCUGUUUCAUUGGUAUCUUCCUAAUCUUGAGGUGCAUGUUACGUCAUAGCCGCCAUCUUGGUUGACGAUAACAAAGCUUUCCUCAUUAGCUUCUCUUGUUAGAUCAACCAACAUGGAGGCUGUUUGAUUGGUAUUCAUAUCUCGAGAGAUCUUGAAUUUAAAUAUACAAUAUAUUUAAUAUCCGAUUGAAAGAUCUUUUCUUUACCCAUUAGUUAACAACUUAUUUCUCUUUUUAACAUGUUUCUUCCUAAGUUUCUACAUUAACAUUUAAUUCCAUAACUUUAAUCACUGACUUAUAAAACUCCUAAAUUUUUUCGAAAUUUUCACUUUCUACUAAGCAUUUUUCCCACUAAAAUUUCAAAUCUGGCGUCAACUCUGCCUCUUACUUUGCCAAUCUCGUCUCUGCUCUAUUUCUAAAGAAGAGGCAAAAUUACAUUGUAUGAAAAAACAGGGAAAGAUGCAUAAAUAUAGACGGUGAUGAGUGAGAAAAAUAGACAUUAUUUGUCGAGGUGCGUGAAAUGCUUUCCCACUUCAGACCGUGUCAUUCCCUAGAGUAUCAUUUCUUUGUUUAACAGUUGCGCAUGAAAUGACACAUGAUCAUGGAUACAAUUCAAACAAAAAUGUUAUUCUCAAGGGAAAUGAUACGUGGUCUGAUACGGAAAAUUAAUACCAACAUUUUUAGCCGGUAUGUGAAAGUCUUAUAAGUAAUGAUAUAUAUUUGAUUCUCAAAUGAAUCGAUAAUUCAAUGAUAAUGUUAUCUAUACUCAUGUAGAUGGCUAUGUUGAUUUAGUGAUGAUCGUAGUAACACUCCACCUACAACAACUGCUGAUCUGAGAGAAAAUGUUAGUCGAUCAAAAUGGAGAAAAUUUGCAAAACUGAGGGGUCAUUUUCCUCUUGAAACCACGGAUUAAAUAAAGUUGCUAAUACAUGCUUGACAAUAUCCCCAAACUUUUCGGCUCAACGAAAAACACAGGUCCGUCAAUGAAUGCGUAAGAACAGAAUUUGUACUAAAUAUUUAUUAAUGAAGGUGAGUAUGAAAUUCGACUUUUCGAAAAUUAACAGCAAAAUAUUUCUCGAUCUCUUUAAUCUGGGUACGCGCGAUAUAUUUUGGUCUAGCUUGGGCACGCACUUAAUACAAUGUUUGAUUUGUCAUGGCUUACGUCGUAGUAGCAGUUCCGAAGUUGUAGAAACGCGUUGCAUUAUGUUUUUUUUUGGGACGGACGCUUCAUCAUUUGACACUUCAUGCAUCAAGAAAUGAAAGAUAUUAAACACUUUUUUUUCACUUUUCACUAUCAGCAAUUGAAAAAAACGCCAAAUAUAUCAUUCGUAUCAAAGUGCCCCCUGAAACAUAACCGCGAUGUAACAUGUUAUGCAACCGCUACGGAACGGCCAAUAGACCGUUUUCUCAAGGUUGCGUUCGCAUCCAUAAUUUAAAGAACUUGACGGGCAACUAUAUUUUAUUAUCAUGCAUUGCUAUAAUUUUUUCGACAAUAACUCAUGAAAUUGAUUGUUCUCUUUCUUAAAUAAGUUAAUUAGUUUUGUUGAACGUCAAGUUAAAUGCGCACGCAACCAUGAGAAAACGGUCUAUAGAGCUUUCAAGUAUGAAGUUAAUCAUACGGAUCGACAAAAGACUUCCGGGUCCAAGUCAAAAACGAAAAGGGUUCUAUAAAAAAAAUUCUUACUUUUUUCUUCACGACAGGAUUUGUUGUACGACGUUUUGUUUGUUUUAGUCUAGUUUUAAGUCUAGAGGGGGAAUAAUCGGUAUUUUCCAGAAUCUUGGUGCACUCACUAUAGAUCAACAGCCCUYUAAGAUAUGUUUAAGCAAGAGCGCGACCUCAAAAUGGGUAGCGCGCGAUGAGACUGAUGUAGAGGAACGUUUGAAGACUAAUCAAAUCAGCUUCUAGGAUCCGAUUCCAAAGUUACUGCUACUUUCAUAAACAUGCGAACUCGAUAGGUGCGAGCUGCAUGCUGAGAUUUGGUUUAUCGCUUGUGUCAAUCAAACCUAAUYAGUCGGUACCUUUCAUAUUUUUUGACUAGCGGCAGCGAAAAACCAAAUUUCAGCRUGCAACUCGGAGACACAGAGUUCGCAUAUUUAUGAAAAUUGCAGUAAAUCAAUGAGAAYAUUUCUACUUUAUUUCAGGGUGCACACAGGUAUUUGAAAAUUAUUUGAAUUUGAUUUUUUUGGUAACUUGUUCCUAAAAAGUUUUUGAAAUGUCCUUGAAACUGCAUUAAUCAUCCUUAAAAAAUAAAGCAAUUGUCAUAUACUGAUUUUACAAAUGAUAAAUUUGAUAUUCAGGACUAUCUUGAUUCCUUAUAUCAGAGGAAACAGAAUUUUACUUGAAACAAAAACUACAAAAGGGAGUUUUUCCUGUCCUUGAAAAUAUCGUAAAACCCCUUUUAAAUGUCCUUGAGAAGUCUUUGAAAAAAAUAGAGGAUACCUGUGUGCACCCUGUUUUAUCGGAUUUUUUUGAACAGUUGGACCUGGGCGGAUACGUCACGAAUUAAAAGCUCUCCAACCAUGGACAAGAUUACCCACGAUUCUCUGGGAGAACAUUUUUCGCCCCAUGUAAGGUAAUCCGAAAUCCACGAAAUUUUAGGCUUUGCAAUCCGGAAUCCAGGCCUUGGAAUCCGGAAUCCAGUUUAUAAUUGAAUCCGGAAUCCAACCUUUUGGAAUCCGGAAUCCAUUACUUUGAAAUUCAAAGUAUACACUCAAGUGCUAUCGCCUCGACCUAGACUGAACCGAUGUAGACCCUCCCCCACUGUGUAAUAUCUCCACCAAGAAUAUCUGUCAUAGGAUGCUGAUUUCAUAGAUAGGCGAUUCUACUUAUACUGGCAAGUAUAUCAAAUAUAUUUUUCAGAUAUAGUAAUACAAAAGUUUUGGAAUCCGGAAUCCAGACCCUUGGAAUCCGCAAUCCAGAGUCUCGGAAUCCGGAAUCCAGCGCUUGGAAUCCGCAAUCCAGAGUCUCGGAAUCCGGAAUCCAGACCCUUGGAAUCCGGAAUCCACCAUAAGUUCGGAUUCCCUUACAUGGGGCGAUAUUUUCCAACGAAUGUUUGUUUGAGUGUUUUCUUCAGAGUUCUUUUUUUGUCUUCUCUUAAAACUUACUGCACYAAAAUCUUGUAUGAAUCUUUAUUGUUUCUAUGAAUCUCUCAAUAAUUGUUGCCUUUGUUUCACUUGAUUCUAAUAAAACUGUUCCUCUGGU